GACGAACGCUGGCGGCGUGCUUAACACAUGCAAGUCGAACGGAAAGGCCCUGCUUUUGUGGGGUGCUCGAGGGGCGAACGGGGGAGUAACACGUGAGUAACCUGCCCUUGACUUUGGGAGAACUUCAGGAAACUGGGGCUAAUACCGGAUAGGAGCUCCUGCUGCAUGGUGGGGGGUGGAAAGUUUCGGCGGUUGGGGAUGGACUCGCGGCUUAUCAGCUUGUUGGUGGGGGAGUGGCUUACCAAGGCUUUGACGGGUAGCCGGCCUGAGAGGGUGACCGGCCACAUUGGGACUGAGAUACGGCCCAGACUCCUACGGGAGGCAGCAGUGGGGAAUAUUGCACAAUGGGCGGACGCCUGAUGCAGCGACGCCGCGUGCGGGAUGACGGCCUUCGGGUUGUAAACCGCUUUCGCCUGUGACGAAGCGUGAGUGACGGUAAUGGGUAAAGAAGCACCGGCUAACUACGUG
rnacentral:rRNA from 1 species